rnacentral:rRNA from 1 species
AUUGAACGCUGGCGGCAGGCCUAACACAUGCAAGUCGAACGGUAACAGGAAGAAGCUUGCUUCUUUGCUGACGAGUGGCGGACGGGUGAGUAAUGUCUGGGAAACUGCCUGAUGGAGGGGGAUAACUACUGGAAACGGUAGCUAAUACCGCAUAAUGUCGCAAGACCAAAGAGGGGGACCUUCGGGCCUCUUGCCAUCGGACGUGCCCAGAUGGGAUUAGCUAGUAGGUGGGGUAACGGCUCACCUAGGCGACGAUCCCUAGCUGGUCUGAGAGGAUGACCAGCCACACUGGAACUGAGACACGGUCCAGACUCCUACGGGAGGCAGCAGUGGGGAAUAUUGCACAAUGGGCGCAAGCCUGAUGCAGCUAUGCCGCGUGUAUGAAGAAGGCCUUCGGGUUGUAAAGUACUUUCAGCGGGGAGGAAGGGAGUAAAGUUAAUACCUUUGCUCAUUGACGUUACCCGCAGAAGAAGCACCGGCUAACUCCGUG